AGCUGGUCCAAAGAUAGUGAGUUAUCUCCAUUAAAUGUUCACAGUUACAGGUCAAGCUCUUUGUUCUACUCUUUUGCCCCUUCUCACUUUUGCACUUGACUGGUCUUUA
ensembl:misc_RNA Y_RNA Y RNA